rnacentral:lncRNA from 10 species
ACCAUGUACAUUUUUUUUUUUCCAAAAAUAAUAAAGCCAGGAAGACCUCCUGCACAACGCCCCCAUUGUUUGACUUGAGCUGGGGGUGGAGCUUCUCUGCCUUGCGCUAACUGUCACAAGUUCUAUUAGAGGAAUUUCUUCUUUGAGGAUCCUGAUGCAAGAGAGCUCAGAGGAUGGUACAGCGGACACCAACCUGAAUGCAACAGCCCCCCAAGCCCUUCCAGCUGAAACUGUCCCCUCUUUGAAAACCACAGGUGUCGGCCGGGCAUGGUGGCUCACGCCUGUAAUCCCAGCACUUUGGUAGGCUGAGGCAGGUGGAUCACCUGAGGUCAGGAGUUCAAGACCAUCCUGACCAACAUGGUGAAACCCCGCCUCCACUAAAAAUACAAAAAUUAGCCAGGCAUGGUGGUGGGUGCCUGUAAUCCCAGCUACUCAGGAGGCUGUGCCAGGAGAAUCGCUCGAACCUAGGAGGUGGAGGUUGCAGUGAGCCGAGAUUGCGCCGUUGGACUCUAGCCUGGGCAACAGAGCAAGACUCGUCUCAAGAAAAAAAAAAGAGAGAGAAAACGAUACGUGUCCUGGUGACGACUCCUGCACCUUCCCUGCUAGCCUGCCUUGCUCUGCCCUGCCUCCUCCCUCCUCCUGCUGUGGCCUCUGGAGCUCCUCUCUCCUGGCUCACCCAGGGACGUCACCCUUGCCUCUUCUCUCUGCGACUCCCAGGCAAAGGACUUUCCGCUCACAAGCAAACAUGUGCUGGCAGGUCUCUUCCUGUGAUCCCUCCACCCUCUAUAGCUACUGCCCCGAUCCCUCUGCUUCCUCCAGCUUCUCGUCAAUUCGCCUGGGCGGCGGGGAGUCUGCGCUUUUGGGAUGUGAUUGGUGCUCCCCAGGCGAUCCUCAUUUACAGCUAGUGGGGACAGCCACCAAGUCACAGCCUUCCAGAAAUUUCACCCAUCCUAUUGCCUUAACCAAUGGCAAGCUGAUAAAUGUUUAAUAGUCAGCUCUGGGGCAUGGGGACAAAUAGCCCUGAUCUGUAUCAUUAUGCAGUUCCUAUGAUGUGACUAUUUCCACCAUGGCCAAUUUCAAGCUGCCAACAGGAAGAGUACUGGCUGUCAAAAUUCCUGCAAAUUUUACAACCCAGGACAAUUCCAUCUGUGGGUGGCAUCUCCCUGGAGCCUGGGUCUACUCUCUGAGUUGGCUCACCUGUCCCUCUGGAACCUGGUUAGGCCAUGGGUGAAAAUCAGCUUCCAUGCCCACUGCAGAGGGAAGGAAAGGAUGCUUGCAUUGAGUGACUGCUGGAGCAGCAGGGGCUUCCCCGCUUUACAGUUUUACAAAGCACUGCAAUUAUCUCAUGUAAGACUCAAGUCUAAAGUGACGUGGCCAAGACCACACAGCAAGCAGGUUCUAGAGCCAGCCUCAGACCAUCCCCACCGUGAGUCCCCCGUGCGAGUGCCCCUUGAAGGAGGUUUUCUAACAGCUUCCUGUAUCCACCACCGCAGUCACAACGCUGAACGCUGCGGCACCCCAAGGACGCCCUGGAUCACUCUUUUGCAACUGGACCGACCUCCUUCCUCUUCCUAAUCUGCCUCCAAGUCUCCAAGUCUGUUAUUUCAAGAAUCUUAUGUGAACGGAAUCAUACACCUUGUAACCUUCUGGGAGUGGCUUUUUCCCUCAAAAUCAUUCCCUGGAGAUUCCUGCAAGGUCUUGUGUGGCCCAGUCCGGGGUUCCUUUUCCCGAUCCGUGACGUGGAGGCACGACAGCAUGUUUAGCAUUCGCCCACUGAAGGUCAACCAGGUGUUUCUGGUUUUUGGCUAUUAUGCAUAAGCUGCUAUGAACACUUGUAUGCAGCUUCUUUUAUUUUUUAUUUUUAUUUUUUAGAGACAGGGUCUUGCUCUGUCGCCCAGGCUGGAGUGUAGUGGCACAAUCACAGCUCACUGUAGCCUCAAACUCCCAGGCUCAAGUGAUCCUCCCCACUCAGCCUUCUGAGUAGCUGGGACUACAAGUGUGCACCACCACGCCCUGCUAAUUUUUAAAGUUUUUUUAUAGAGACAGGGUCUUGCUAUGUUGCCUGGGCUGAUCGCAAACUCCUGACUGAGUAAUCCUCCCGCCUCGGCCUCCCAGGGUGUUGGGACUAUAGGCGUAAUCUACCACGCCCAGCCUUGUGUAUAGGUUUUGAUGUGAACAAAAGCUUCCAUUUCUCUGGGAUAAAUGGCCAAGAGCACAGUUGCUGGGUCUUAUGGCAAUUGUGUGUUUAGUUUUAUAAGAAACUGCCAAAUUGUUUUCCAGAGGGGCUGCACCAUGUGACAGGACCAGUAGCAGUUUCUUUUUCUUGUUUUUUUCUUUUUUUUUUUUUUCGAGACGGAGUUUUGCUCUGUCGCCGAGGCUGGAGUGCAAUGGCACGAUCUUGGCUCACUGCAACUUGUACCUCCUCAGUUCAAGCAACACUCCUGCCUCAGCCUCCCGAGUAGCUGGGAUUAUAGACACCCGCCAUCAUGCCCAGCUAAUUUUUGUAGAGAUAGGGUUUCACCAUGUUGGCCAGGCUGGUUCCGAACUCCUGACCUCAGGUGAUCCACCCGCCUUGGCCUCCCAGAGUGCUGGGAUUACAGGCGUGAGCCACCACGCCUGGCCCCCGGUAGCAUUUUCUGAGUGAUCCUAUUUCUGUGCAUCCCCACCAGCAUUUGGCGUUGCCACUAUUUUUAAUUUCUGAUAGGUGUUGAUGGUAUCUCACUGUGGUUCUAAUUUGCAUUCCCCCCAUGGCUCAUGGUGUUGGACAGCUUUUCAUGUGCUCACUUGCCAUCUGUAUAUUCUCUUUGGUGAAAUGUCACCAUUGAAUUUGAAGCGAGUUUCUUGUAAACAGUGUAUGGUUAGGUUGUUUUUCAAAAAAUAGACUGCCAAUCUCUUGCUUUUUACUUGGUGUAUUUCAUUUACCUUUAAAGAAAAUUAUCAAUAUGUUAGGACUUAGGUCUGCCAUUUAAGGAUUUGUUUUCUCUGUGUAUGUUUUCUUGCUUUUCUGUGGAUUCCUUGAACAUUAGGAUUGAGGUUCAUCUUGGUUGAUUUAUAGUCAUCUAGAGGGCGUUUCUUUGUAUCACUUCCCUAGUGGUCGCUCUGGUUAUUACAAGGUACACGGGUAGCAUUUUACCACCUGCAGUGAAUGUGGAAGCCUUACUUCCAUGUAGGUUCUUUAACCUGUCCCCCUUUUAUUUUCAUUUUAUGUUAUUUUUGAGACAGGGUCUCACUUUGUUGCCCAGGCUGGAGUGCAGUGGCACAAUCACGGCUCACCGCAGCCUCAACCUCCUGUUCUUAAGUGAUCUUCCUGCCUCAGCUGCCUGAGUAACCAGGACUACAGGCACAUGUCACCACACCUGGCCUAUUGAUUGAUUGAUUGAUUGUAGAGAUGGGGUCUCACUAUGUUGCCUGGGCUGGUCUUUAACACCUGGGCUCAAAGGAUUCUCAUGCUUCAGCCUCCCAAAGUGCUGGGAUUACAGGCGUGGGCCACUGCACCCCCCACCACACCUUUUUAAAUAUCAUUGUCUUGAAUAUCAGACAGUGUUAGAAUUUUUGCUUCAAUCAUUAAAUUUGAUUUAUAAAGCUCAUGAGAAGGAUCAUCUAUUGCAGAUUCCCAUACACUUGUUCUUUCCAUUAUUUUUUCCUUCUUAAUGCUCCAAGAUUCCAUUUUAUUUUAUUUUAUUUUAUUUAUUAUUAUUUGAAAUAGAGUCUCUCUCCGUCGCCCAGGCUGGAGUGCAGUGGCGUGAUCUCGGCUCGCUGCAGCCUCCGCCUCCCG